ACCUAGAUGCUUCAGCCCUGAGGAGAUAAAGCUCCUUACCUCAUAAUGGGCAGUGCUGAUUUCAGUAGCUGGGGAGCGUGGCUCACAGACGGAUGAGGCCUUAGUGACUAUGUGGUCCUACAACCACUUCCCUUUUAAAGUUUUAAGGAGAGAGAGGGAGAGAGAGAGAGAGAGAGAGAGAGAGAGAGAGAGAGACAGUAACUGAUAUCAGGCCACACAGUAACCCAGGUGUGGAGCCAUGAUGAGAACCCCACCGCUUUCCCAUUGGGACAGAAUGGGAGCUUUCCCCAGAGGACUUCUAAGAUUCCUUCCCGAUCUGAUGUGCUGUGACUCUCGGUCUGGAUGCUACACCCAGUAGCUUAGGACUUCCUUAUCCACUGUGGGCUGAGAGUCCCAUUAACUCCACAGCCGUACAGCUAAUGAACUUCUCAGCCAAGGAGGAAUUAAUAGCCUAAUCACACUAAUGGCCACCGCUUCACAAAUACCUACUAUCUACUGUGCAUAUAUGUAUCCCUGAUCCUAAAAUACCCUGCAGAGUAAGUCUUAAUGCCUCCAUUUCACAGAUGAGGAAGCUGAGGUCCUAAGAGAGUAAGGGAUUUUCCUGCAGUCAUACCAUUAGUAAGGGAAGGUGGAAGAGUUCAAAGCUCCACGACUGUA